rnacentral:rRNA from 1 species
GAUAAACGCUAGCGGCAGGCCUAACACAUGCAAGUCGAGGGGCAGCAUAAAUGGUAGCAAUACUAUUGGUGGCGACCGGCGGACGGGUGCGUAACGCGUAUACAACCUACCUUUAACAGGGGGAUAACUCUGGGAAACUGGAACUAAUACCCCGUAAUACUAUUUGUGGCAUCACAUUUAGUUGAAAGCUUUAUUGUGGUUAGAGAUGGGUAUGCGUUGUAUUAGCUAGUUGGUAAGGUAACGGCUUACCAAGGCUACGAUACAUAGGGGGACUGAGAGGUUAGCCCCCCACACUGGUACUGAGACACGGACCAGACUCCUACGGGAGGCAGCAGUGAGGAAUAUUGGUCAAUGGGCGGAAGCCUGAACCAGCCAUGCCGCGUGCAGGAAGACGGCGCUAUGCGUUGUAAACUGCUUUUGUACGAGAGUAAUAGUGGGUACGUGUACCCAUUUGAAAGUAUCGUACGAAUAAAGACCGGCUAACUCCGUGCCAGCAGCCGCGGUAAUACGGAGGGUCUAAGCGUUAUCCGGAUUUAUUGGGUUUAAAGGGUGCGUAGGCGGUUUUUUAAGUUAGAGGUGAAAUCUCGUGGCUCAACCACGAAACUGCCUCUGAUACUGGAGAGCUUGAGAGGAGAUGCGGUUGGCGGAAUGUGUAGUGUAGCGGUGAAAUGCUUAGAGAUUACACAGAACACCGAUUGCGAAGGCAGCUGACCAAUCUUCAUCUGACGCUGAUGCACGAAAGCGUGGGGAUCAAACAGGAUUAGAUACCCUGGUAGUCCACGCUGUAAACGAUGAUAACUCGAUGUCGGCGAUAUACAGUCGGUGUCUAAGCGAAAGCGAUAAGUUAUCCACCUGGGGAGUACGCUCGCAAGAGUGAAACUCAAAGGAAUUGACGGGGGCCCGCACAAGCGGAGGAACAUGUGGUUUAAUUCGAUGAUACGCGAGGAACCUUACCCGGGCUUGAAAGUUAGCGAUUGACUUGGAAACAGGUCUUCCAGCAAUGGCGCGAAACUAGGUGCUGCAUGGUUGUCGUCAGCUCGUGCCGUGAGGUGUCGGAUUAAGUUCCAUAACGAGCGCAACCCCUAUUGAUAGUUACCAGCGAGUAGUGUCGGGGACUCUAUCGAGACUGCCUGUGUAAGCAGUGAGGAAGGUGGGGAUGACGUCAAAUCAGCACGGCCCUUACGUCCGGGGCGACACACGUGUUACAAUGGUCGGUACAGAGGGCAGCUACCCAGUGAUGGGGUGCGAAUCUCGAAAGCCGGUCUCAGUUCGGAUUGGAGGCUGAAACUCGCCUCCAUGAAGUUGGAUUCGCUAGUAAUCGCGCAUCAGCCAUGGCGCGGUGAAUACGUUCCCGGGC